UACGGAGGAUGCAAGCGUUAUCCGGAAUGAUUGGGCGUAAAGCGUCCGCAGGUGGCUAUGUAAGUCUGCUGUUAAAGAGUGAGGCUCAACCUCAUAAGAGCAGUGGAAACUACAUGGCUAGAGUGCGUUCGGGGCAGAGGGAAUUCCUGGUGUAGCGGUGAAAUGCGUAGAGAUCAGGAAGAACACCGAUGGCGAAAGCGCUCUGCUAGGCCGCAACUGACACUGAGGGACGAAAGCUAGGGGAGCGAAUGGG
rnacentral:rRNA from 1 species